GUUAUCAUGCCUAAAAUUGUAUCAAGCCGCAAGCCGGCCUGUCUUUGGUAAUUCUAUACUCUCCCUUUCAAUACUCAAAAGGCAACUUAGGUGGAAGAGGAUAGACACACAUGUAAAAGACAGUGCAGCGCUCUCUAAAUAUCACGACAAGGGACAUUCGUCCUGGCCAUCAAUAUCUCAGAACCGUCGAGGAUGCUAUCUUGUCCAGACUUCAGAGUUUCAUGUUGUAACACAUGAUUCCCCACUAGUAGUCUAUUAAUGUUUUGUGAUCUUGAAAAUGAUGGUUGGAGCAGCAAAGAUUUGCAGAUUUCUUCUGCAUUUUCAUGAUUGUCACUUCCGGUUUCCUUCAAUUCAUCCAUUCUCAUCGCAGCAACGGCUAGAAGAAUCUGUUAAAGCUGCAGUUGAAGCCAAAACCUACGAACAAAUUCCUGACCUUGUUUCCUCAAAAGAAGCUUGCCAAAACCCAAAUCCAUUCUCAUUCCUCUCGACCUUUCCCCUCAACCUCAGAACACAAAUCGUUGAUGAAAUUUUACAGUCUUUUAUUCCUCUCAGACCCCGCUCUCGCCCCCAGAUUGCCUAUACAUGCCUCCUCUCGUACACUCUCCAAAGCCCCAAUCCCCUCCCUCUUGGACUCGCUAUCCUCCAAAGAGUUCUUCACUCUGGCUGUGUUCCUGUCCCUCAAACUCGCCUCCUCCUCUCUUCUGCAUGGCUUGAGCGCCGGCACCAUUCUGAGUCAGUUCCUAACAUCCUGUUGGAGAUGCAAUCAAUUGGAUAUUGUCCAGACUGUGGCACAUGCAAUUAUCUUAUAUCAUCUCUAUGUGCUGUUGAUCAAUUGGCAGAGGCCGUUAAAGUGUUGAAGGGAAUGGGUAGGGCCGGAUGUGUUCCUGAUCUGGAGAGUUAUGGCAUUGUAAUCAGUACAAUGUGCACACUCAGAAGAACUGCAGAGGCAACAGAGAUGUUGAAGCAAAUGGUGGUGCAAAUGGGAUUGACACCAAGGCAGGGAACAGUGGUGAAGGUGGCAGCGGCAUUGAGGUCAAACAGAGAGAUAUGGAAGGCAGUUGAGAUGAUUGAUUUCUUGGAGAGAGAGGGUUACGCUGUUGGGUUUGAAAGCUAUGAGUUGGUGGUUGAGGGGUGCUUGGAGUGUAGUGAGUAUAUUUUGGCAGGAAAGGUGGUAAUGGGGAUGACAGAGAGAGGGUUUAUUCCAUAUAUCAGGGUCAGGCAAAAGGUGGUUGAGAGACUUGCUGGUAUAGGUGAAUGGGAACUUGCUUGUGCUGUGAGGCAAAGAUUUGCAGAUUUAAAGUCUUAGCACUCACAAUUCUUCUGGGAGUGGGUUGAUUAAAGUUCAAUGUCAAAAGGACUAAGUACAUACUGCAACAUCUAGUUGGCAUCUGAAAAUUACCAGGUCAAUGUAGUUUUGUUAGCCACUCAGUCGCAUAGCCAAUUGUAGUAAAAAUUUAUUACACUCGUAUCUUCAUACAAUGCUCAAGAGGGUGUUAGAGUUGAAAGCCAGUCUCCUCUGCAGUUACAGCUGAACAAGACAUACUGAUGGACGUCUGUUGAUGACAAGGGCCUGCAUUCACAUUAAAAUAUGUUUUUGUUAGCCCUAAAUUUGUCUUUUGAUGCUGAUCAUGGUGAUCUCAUGUAGUGUUGCAAUAAUAGCUUUUCAAAGUCAUGUUCACUCAUGGUGACAGAUCAACCUUUAGUUUGUUAUUAAUGGAAUAUUGUCAACACCUCUGACUUAUAUACUAAGCACACCAGCAUUACUGGCCAAAUAAAUCCAUCAAGCAAGCAAUCUCAGUAAGAUAUGUUAUGGAUUCCAUGCUAACCCAAUUGCUGGGCCAUCAAGAUUGCUGGUUUCAAAUUGAUGCCUUGUUGAUGAAUCUCAACUUGCACCUAAAAAGCUUACUACGCUGAGAUUUCAAGGUUCAGAAUAUAUCCAUGGUAACCAAUCGGAUUAUAAACAAAUGUAGUCAGUUUGGAAAAGUUCAAAAUAGAAUUAGAAAAGGAUUCUGAAUCAAGAAACCAUGAUAUGGAUUGAUUAUUCAUAUUAUGAUCUGCACAUGAGCCUUUGUUCUUAUGUAAGAUUCAUAUUUCGUGA